rnacentral:rRNA from 1 species
GACGAACGCUGGCGGCGUGCUUAACACAUGCAAGUCGAACGGAAAGGCCCUGCUUGCCGGGUCCUCGAGUGGCGAACGGGUGAGUAACACGUGGGUGAUCUGCCCUUCACUUCGGGAUAAGCCUGGGAAACUGGGUCUAAUACCGGAUAUGACCUUCCAUGUAGUGUGGGGGGUGGAAAGAUUUAUCGGUGUGGGAUGAGCCCGCGGCCUAUCAGCUUGUUGGUGGGGUAAUGGCCUACCAAGGCGUCGACGGGUAGCCGGCCUGAGAGGGUGGACGGCCACAUUGGGACUGAGAUACGGCCCAGACUCCUACGGGAGGCAGCAGUGGGGAAUAUUGCACAAUGGGCGGAAGCCUGAUGCAGCGACGCCGCGUGGGGGAUGACGGCCUUCGGGUUGUAAACCUCUUUCGACAGGGACGAAGCUUCGGUGACGGUACCUGUAUAAGAAGCACCGGCUAACUACGUG